rnacentral:rRNA from 1 species
CCUACGGGAGGCAGCAGUGGGGAAUCUUGCGCAAUGGGCGAAAGCCUGACGCAGCGACGCCGCGUGGGCGAUGAAGGCCUUCGGGUUGUAAAGCCCUGUCGGGUGGAACGAACGCCAGGCCGGCGAACAACCGGCCUGGUUGACGGUACCACCGAAGGAAGCCCCGGCUAACUACGUGCCAGCAGCCGCGGUAAUACGUAGGGGGCAAGCGUUGUUCGGAUUUACUGGGCGUAAAGCGCGCGUAGGCGGCCCUGCAAGUCCGAUGUGAAAUCCCUCGGCUCAACCGGGGACCCGCGUCGGAUACUGCAGGGCUUGAGUGCAGGAGAGGAGAGCGGAAUUCCCAGUGUAGCGGUGAAAUGCGUAGAUAUUGGGAGGAACACCGGUGGCGAAGGCGGCUCUCUGGACUGCUACUGACGCUGAGGCGCGAAAGCUAGGGGAGCAAACGGGAUUAGAUACCCCGGUAGUCCUAGCCGUAAACGUUGGGCACUAGGUGUGGGAGGUAUCGACCCCUUCCGUGCCGCAGCUACGCAUAAGUGCCCGCCGUCGGGAGGUACGGCCGGCCGAAGGUUAGUAAACGUUAAAGUUAGUAAGUUAGUACGGCGUUGUAGACGUUGCCGACGGCGACGACGAGGGAGGAGG